CUGCCAGACUCCUACGGGAGGCGGCAGUGAGGAAUAUUGGUCAAUGGGCGGGAGCCUGAACCAGCCAAGUCGCGUGAGGGAAGACGGCCCUACGGGUUGUAAACCUCUUUUGUCGGGGAGCAAAGAGAGUCACGUGUGACUCAUUGAGAGUACCCGAAGAAAAAGCAUCGGCUAACUCCGUGCCAGCAGCCGCGGUAAUACGGAGGAUGCGAGCGUUAUCCGGAUUUAUUGGGUUUAAAGGGUGCGCAGGCGGAAGCGGCAAGUCAGCGGUAAAAUGGCGGGGCUCAACCUCGCCGAGCCGUUGAAACUGCUCUUCUAGAGUGGGCGAGAAGUAUGCGGAAUGCGUGGUGUAGCGGUGAAAUGCAUAGAUAUCACGCAGAACUCCGAUUGCGAAGGCAGCAUACCGGCGCCCAACUGACGCUCAUGCACGAAAGCGUGGGUAUCGAACAGGAUUAGAUACCCGUGUA
rnacentral:rRNA from 1 species